rnacentral:rRNA from 1 species
UCGAACGAACUCUGGUAUUGAUUGGUGCUUGCAUCAUGAUUUACAUUUGAGUGAGUGGCGAACUGGUGAGUAACACGUGGGAAACCUGCCCAGAAGCGGGGGAUAACACCUGGAAACAGAUGCUAAUACCGCAUAACAACUUGGACCGCAUGGUCCGAGCUUGAAAGAUGGCUUCGGCUAUCACUUUUGGAUGGUCCCGCGGCGUAUUAGCUAGAUGGUGGGGUAACGGCUCACCAUGGCAAUGAUACGUAGCCGACCUGAGAGGGUAAUCGGCCACAUUGGGACUGAGACACGGCCCAAACUCCUACGGGAGGCAGCAGUAGGGAAUCUUCCACAAUGGACGAAAGUCUGAUGGAGCAACGCCGCGUGAGUGAAGAAGGGUUUCGGCUCGUAAAACUCUGUUGUUAAAGAAGAACAUAUCUGAGAGUAACUGUUCAGGUAUUGACGGUAUUUAACCAGAAAGCCACGGCUAACUACGUGCCAGCAGCCGCGGUAAUACGUAGGUGGCAAGCGUUGUCCGGAUUUAUUGGGCGUAAAGCGAGCGCAGGCGGUUUUUUAAGUCUGAUGUGAAAGCCUUCGGCUCAACCGAAGAAGUGCAUCGGAAACUGGGAAACUUGAGUGCAGAAGAGGACAGUGGAACUCCAUGUGUAGCGGUGAAAUGCGUAGAUAUAUGGAAGAACACCAGUGGCGAAGGCGGCUGUCUGGUCUGUAACUGACGCUGAGGCUCGAAAGUAUGGGUAGCAAACAGGAUUAGAUACCCUGGUAGUCCAUACCGUAAACGAUGAAUGCUAAGUGUUGGAGGGUUUCCGCCCUUCAGUGCUGCAGCUAACGCAUUAAGCAUUCCGCCUGGGGAGUACGGCCGCAAGGCUGAAACUCAAAGGAAUUGACGGGGCCC